GGGGGAUAGCACGGGGAAACUCGUAUUAAUACCGCAUACAACCUACGGGAGAAAGGGGGCAGUUUACUGCUCUCGCUAUUAGAUGAGCCUAAGUCGGAUUAGCUAGAUGGUGGGGUAAAGGCCUACCAUGGCGACGAUCUGUAGCUGGUCUGAGAGGAUGAUCAGCCACACCGGGACUGAGACACGGCCCGGACUCCUACGGGAGGCAGCAGUGGGGAAUAUUGGACAAUGGGGGAAACCCUGAUCCAGCCAUGCCGCGUGUGUGAAGAAGGCCUUUUGGUUGUAAAGCACUUUAAGCAGUGAAGAAGACUCCAUGGUUAAUACCCAUGGACGAUGACAUUAGCUGCAGAAUAAGCACCGGCUAACUCUGUGCCAUCAGCCGCGGUAAUACAGAGGGUGCAAGCGUUAAUCGGAAUUACUGGGCGUAAAGGGAGCGUAGGUGGCUCUAUAAGUCACAUGUGAAAUCCCCGGGCUUAACCUGGGAACUGCAUCUGAAACUGUAGAGCUAGAGUAUGUGAGAGGAAGGUAGAAUUCCAGGUGUAGCGGUGAAAUGCGUAGAGAUCUGGAGGA
rnacentral:rRNA from 1 species